AAACAGUUCAUUAAAACACUGCAUACUUAAGCAAGGAAGCCAAAACACUUAUUUCAGUUCUUGAGGAGAAAUGUUUGCAAAAGAAGAAAAAGGGAAGCCGUCCUUGGUGCUCAAUCUCCUCCCCCUGCUCUUUCCACUCUGGAUUAAAUCUGCCCCCCACCAUGCAUCCCCAGCUCUCCUUGUAUAGCACCACAUCUCCAUCCUGGUAUUUAUCAUCGCAGAUGACGACAAUCAGCUCACUUCUCACUACAUUGUCAGGUCCUCAGGGAUAAGAGAUGGCAAUUCAAGUCAGGAUUCUACUUUCUGUCAAUGGUCAAGUGUGUCUACUCCCAGCUGAGCCUUUGGCACCAGGGGCAGAAGGAGAUUCAGCUGAAUUGAGAGGGAUUUGGGAGCGCGGUGUCUGAGAGUUACUUGCAUGUCCUAACACAUUUCUGAACUAAAUGUAUGUCUCUGAACCACACACAAAACAACACACGCAGCCACAUUCUUUCUACCUGGAACUUAGUUACUCAGCAAUUUCACCUUUCAGACCACAGCCAACUGCUAGUGAGCAAGCUGGGUGUGGGAGGGCCGAGAGC